GACGAACGCUGGCGGCGUGCUUAAUACAUGCAAGUCGACCGAAAAAGUGGUAGCAUUGUCGCUGUGGAGGUGGCGGACGGGGGAGUAAAACGGAGGGUAUCUGCCUUCUGGUCUGGCAUAAUCCCGGGAAAACGGGGCUAAUAACAGAAGAUGAAGCGGCGCGACAUCGAGAUAGUUGGUAAAGGUAGGGCGUCCGGAGAUGAGCCUGCGUCUGAUUAGCUGGUUGGCGGGCUAACGGCUCACCAAGGCAACGAUCGGUAGCUGGGCUGAGAGGAUGAACGGGCACACUGGAACCGAGACACGGUCCAGAGUCCGGCGGGAGGGAGCAGUAAGGGAUAUUGCGCAAUGGGAGAAAUCCUGAAGCAGCAGCGCAGCGUGAGGGACGACGGGCUUUAGAUUGUAAUCCUCUGUAGUGAGAGAAAUAGAUCGCAAUCUUGAGGGCAUGAUGGUAACUCAAAAGUAAGCCCCGGCUAACUACGUG
rnacentral:rRNA from 1 species